rnacentral:rRNA from 1 species
GACGAACGCUGGCGGCGUGCUUAACACAUGCAAGUCGAACGGAAAGGCCCCCUUGUGGGGUGCUCGAGUGGCGAAGGGGGGAGAAACACGUGAGUAACCUACCCUUGACUGUGGGAUAACUUCAGGAAACUGGGGCUAAUACCGGAUAGGAGCUCCUGCUGCAUGGUGGGGGUUGGAAAGUUUCGGCGGUUGGGGAUGGACUCGCGGCUUAUCAGCUUGUUGGUGGGGUAGUGGCUCACCGAGGCGUUGACGGGUAGCCGGCCUGGGAGGGUGACCGGCCACCUUGGGACUGCGAUACGGCCCAGACUGGUACGGGAGGCAGUAGUGGGGAAUCUUGCACAAUGGGGGGAAGUCUGAUGCAGCAACGCCGCGUGCGGGAUGACGGCCUUCGGGUUGUAAACCGCUUUCGCCUGUGACGAAGCGUGAGUGACGGUAAUGGGUAAAGAAGCACCGGCUAACUACGUG